rnacentral:lncRNA from 1 species
CGGAGGCCGGGCGGUGUGAGCAGGCCGUGGGCAGGAGCCGUGUCCCGGAGGCCGGGCGGUGUGAGCAGGCCGUGGGCAGGAGCCGUGUCCCGGAGCUGCGGGCUGCAGGUGGCAGCAGCGCCCUUCCCUUCCCUGCGGCAGCCGGGGAUGCUGCGGCACAGCCCGGCCACAGCGCCAGGAGCACAUCGGCACCUCGCAGCCACACUCUGCGCCUCCCCCGCCUCCUCCCCGACAGGAAUCCGGAUCCUUGGAGAGAGGGGAGGGGAAGAAAAGCCUUUCUGCAUCGCGCAGUGCCAGACAGAGCCCGGAGUUCUCCAAAUAGGAUUGGCCUCCUGUCCUCCCUGCUGGCCCCUGCCAUUCCAGCCCCUCCCGUGCCAUCCCAGCGUGUGCUGCAGAAUCCAGCCUGCUCCUGCUAGAAAGGAAACAUCUAAAGCCAGCCAGAGCAUGUCCAAUAGGAUUUGUGGUUCUUCCAA